CAAACAAAGUUUUAAGAAACCAGGAUCUGAGGUUUCAUUCCUCAGUCUGAGCAGUGACUCACCCACAUUCCUGACUGCUCCAACAAGAGGCGAGCCCUGCUCCUGGCAGACCUGAUCCUCUGCAUUGCAUUGUGCCAAGCAAAGUCCAGCAGCGGCAGCACAUCGGAGCUGGUGCAGAACGGGGCCAAACCAGUGUUGGCCAAACUCCUACCAAGGUCGUCUAAGAACGCUCAGAGGCAGCAGCUGAAGUUUUUCACAAUUCAAGGACAGCAGAGACAAGUACAAAACUAACUGAGCAGAGGGAGCCAGGCAGCACACAGGAACCUGUUUGCUGUGCUGGUAGCUGCAGCUGCAGACCUGGGGAGGAUGUCUGGGAGAUGCAGAAAGUGGACAUUUUGCAAAAUCACAUGAGAGAGUACCCAGCUCAGCUCGCCUCAGUCCUGCUGUCUUGCUUCCCCAUGGAAACGCCGUGCUGCACCAUCUGCCAGUGCCUCCCUGCAGCGCUUUGAGCUCUGACCCCGGCCCCAUCUGAAAGGUGCAUGAACCCACCAGAAGUCUCUGCCUUUAUCUUCCAAAUCUCAUCCUCUUGAUUGGGGAGUAAGGAGGCUGUGAGUGCACCCAUCCGCCAUCCUGCUGCCCCCCCAGCUCAUGUGUGCUUCAGCUGACAAUUACUGCACAGUUAUACACAGCAUGUCCUGCUUGCCUAGUGAGGGUGGGCAGGGAGCUGGGAUGGCUGUGGUGGAAUCCAGUUAUAAAG
rnacentral:lncRNA from 1 species